UCUCCGUAGGUGAACCAGCGGAGGGAUCAUUAUUGUAUUACCAAGCUCCCAAGGCUGUCGCUACCCCGACCUGUCCUGUACGCCCGCGUGCCCUCCCCCCCCUCCAUCUCCCCCCUAUGUGCCCCCCCGCGCGCGUCCCCCCUCGGCUUGUUCCGAGGCGGGCUUACGUUUUCUCCCCCUCUUUUUCUGCAGUGUUGAAUGUCUUUUUUGUUUUUGCGAUCACGCAAUCAAUACACCUUUCAACGAAGGAUCUCUUGGCUCUCGCAUCGAUGCAGCACG
rnacentral:misc_RNA from 1 species